AUUGAACGCUGGCGGCAGGCUUAACACAUGCAAGUCGAGCGGAGAUGAGGUGCUUGCACCUUAUCUUAGCGGCGGACGGGUGAGUAAUGCUUAGGAAUCUGCCUAUUAGUGGGGGACAACAUUCCGAAAGGAAUGCUAAUACCGCAUACGUCCUACGGGAGAAAGCAGGGGAUCUUCGGACCUUGCGCCAAUAGAUGAGCCUAAGUCGGAUUAGCUAGUUGGUGGGGUAAAGGCCUACCAAGGCGACGAUCUGUAGCGGGUCUGAGAGGAUGAUCCGCCACACUGGGACUGAGACACGGCCCAGGAUCCUACGGGAGGCAGCAGUGGGGAAUAUUGGACAAUGGGGGGAACCCUGAUCCAGCCAUGCCGCGUGUGUGAAGAAGGCCUUAUGGUUGUAAAGCACUUUAAGCGAGGAGGAGGCUACUGAGACUAAUACUCUUGGAUAGUGGACGUUACUCGCAGAAUAAGCACCGGCUAACUCUGUGCCAGCCGCCGCAGUAA
rnacentral:rRNA from 1 species